UACGAAGGGUGCAAGCGUUACUCGGAAUUACUGGGCGUAAAGCGUGCGUAGGUGGUUCGUUAAGUCUGAUGUGAAAGCCCUGGGCUCGACCUGGGAAUGGCAUUGGAUACUGGCGAUCUAGAGUGCGGUAGAGGGCAGUGGAAUUCCCGGUGUAGCAGUGAAAUGCGUAGAGAUCGGGAGGAACAUCUGUGGCGAAGGCGACUGCCUGGACCAGCACUGACACUGAGGCACGAAAGCGUGGGGAGCAAACAGG
rnacentral:rRNA from 1 species